CGCGCAGGCGGGCUAAUAAGUUGGAUGUGAAAGCCUACGGCUCAACCGUAGAACUGCAUCCAAAACUGUUAGUCUAGAGUGUGGGAGAGGAAGAUGGAAUUAGUUGUGUAGGGGUAAAAUCCGUAGAGAUAACUAGGAAUAACCAAAAGACGAAGGCAAUCUUCUGGAACAUUACUGACGCUGAGGCGCGAAAGCGUGGGGAGCAAACA
rnacentral:rRNA from 1 species